GACGAACGCUGGCGGCAUGCCUAACACAUGCAAGUCGAACGAGACCUUCCUGUCUAUUGGCGCACGGGUGCUUAACGCCGGGGAAGCUGCCCUUAGGUUCGGAAUAACUCCCCUAAAGGUGUGCUAAGACCGGUUAAUGUCUUCGGACCAAAGAGUUAUUGCCUUUGGAUGGGGCCUGGUUAGAUUAGCUAGUUGGUAGUGGAAAAGCGUACCAAGGACACGUUCCAUAGCUGGUGUGUUAGCAUGACCAGUCACAAUGGGAAUGCGACACGGCCUAGAACGCUACGCAGGGGAGCAGUAGGGAAUAUUGGACGAUGAGCCAAAGCGUGACAAAGCAACGCGGGGUGAGUGAUGCAGGCGUUAGGGUUGUAAAGCUGCUUUAGCCGGGAUGAUAAUGACAGUAACGGGUGAAUAAGCACCGGCUAACUACGUG
rnacentral:rRNA from 1 species